rnacentral:rRNA from 1 species
ACCUUAUCNGUACUCCGAAUGCAUCUAGAUUAUNAGUUUGAUCAUGGCUCAGAUUGAACGCUGGCGGCAGGCCUAACACAUGCAAGUCGAGCGGCAGCACAAGUAAGUUUACUUAUGAGGUGGCGAGCGGCGGACGGGUGAGUAAUGCCUAGGGAUCUGCCCAGUCGAGGGGGAUAACAGUUGGAAACGACUGCUAAUACCGCAUACGCCCUACGGGGGAAAGGAGGGGACCUUCGGGCCUUCCGCGAUUGGAUGAACCCAGGUGGGAUUAGCUAGUUGGUGAGGUAAUGGUCCGUU